GACAGACGCCAACAUGCCUGAUUUUCAGGCAGGUGCUGAGCGUGCUCACACGUUAAUGCCACCGGCGCUGGCGGGUGCCAAUAUUAUUUAUGAGUCA
rnacentral:ncRNA from 1 species